rnacentral:rRNA from 1 species
GACGGAAGGUGCAAGCGUUGCUCGGAAUCACUGGGCGUAAAGGGUGCGUAGGCGGCUUGGUAGGUCUGGUGUGAAAGCCCCGGGCUCAGCCCGGGAAGGGCACUAGAAACUGCCAAGCUAGAGUGCCGGAGGGGAGAGUGGAAUUCCUGGUGUAGCGGUGAAAUGCGCAGAUAUCAGGAGGAACACCGGUGGCGAAGGCGGGUCUCUGGGCCGAUACUGACGCUGAGGAGCGAAAGCGUGGGGAGCGAACAGG